UCAUGUGGCCAUGGCUGCAUAAAACCAUGGCUGCAUAACUGCACACUAUGCUGAAGCCUACGUUUUUUCCUUUUUUUUUCCUCAAACCCGCACCUAGGUUUGUGUCAUUUUUAUCAGAAGAAGCGCCGAGACGGCAACAAAGUCCAAGGGCCGAACAAAACCAAAAAAAAGGAGCUAAACAAACUGUACACAAACAAACAACCGGAAGAAGCGCCGAGACGGCAACAAAGUCCAAGGGCUGAACAAAACAAAAAAAAGAGCUAAACAAACUGUACACAAACAAACAACCGGAAUCAGCCUUAAAGCUUAACUCAAUUCAAACUUAAUUAUUGUUUUUUUUCUCAUGAAUGAUAGCAGUACUUCACACAAUUUGAUGCUAAUUUGAAUCUCAGGGUUACUAAUUCUAUGACAUGUGGAUUGUGUUCUAAAGGUUCUGGUUGGUUUACCUUAAGGCAUGAGUAGUAAUUUUGUUUGAAU
rnacentral:lncRNA from 1 species